AUUACUGAAGACACUCCACAGGUUAUGGCUGAGAAACUUGAUUAUAUGUUAACUAGGCAGUAUGAUUUACUUGUUUGUAGAGUUUGAAUUUUUAAUUUAUGGCUAGAAAGUUUUAGAAUGGGAGGCUUAGACUGUGCAUGAAAUUUUAUUGCUAGAUGACUGAUAUAUAUUCCUCCAUCAUCUCAGGUCCCAAUUAAUCCAUAUGGA
rnacentral:misc_RNA from 1 species